rnacentral:rRNA from 1 species
GUGCAGCAGUCGCGAAACCUCCGCAAUGCGGGAAACCGUGACGGGGUCACCCCGAGUGCCACCCGAUGAGGGUGGCUUUUCCCCGGUCUAAAAAGCCGGGGGCAAUUAAAGCGGGGGCAAGUCUGGUGUCAGCCGCCGCGGUAAUACCAGCCCCGCGAGUGGUCGGGACGGUUUAUUGGGCCUAAAGCGUCCGUAGCCGGCUCGGUAAGUCCCUCCUUAAAAU